rnacentral:rRNA from 1 species
UACAGAGGGUGCGAGCGUUAAUCGGAAUUACUGGGCGUAAAGCGUGCGUAGACGGUAGCGUAAGUCAGAUGUGAAAGCCCCGGGCUCAACCUGGGAAUUGCAUUUGAGACUGCUCUGCUCGGGUGCGGAAGAGGGAAGCGGAAUUUCCGGUGUAGCGGUGAAAUGCGUAGAUAUCGUGAGGAACACCAGAGGCGAAGGCGGUUACCUGGACAGUUACUGACGCUCAGGCACGAAAGCAUGGGGAGCAAAAGGG